GAUGCUGGGAGGAAAGUCCGGGCAGCUCGAGCCACCAUGCUUCCUAACGGGAAGACACUUUCCCGAACACGACCGAAAGGGAGUGAACGGGUUUACCCCGAACACGACCGAAAGGGAGUGAACGGGUUUACCCGGUGAGGGAAAGUGAUAGCUAGCGCCACAGAAAACAAACCGCCUUCGGGCAAGGGUGAAAACGCGGGGUAAGAGCCCACGACAUGUCCGGGUGACCGGCAUGAUGGCAAGCCUCAUGGGCUGAAAGACCAUGUAUACCAGUCUGUCUCACGACAGCAAGCCGGCUCGCUUGCAUGACUGGGGGGUAGGUUGAUUGAGACCGUCGGCGACGGCGGCCCUAGAUUAAUGAUAGAACACGACAGAACCCGGCUUACAGGCCCACG
rnacentral:RNase_P_RNA from 1 species